CAAAGAACUCCUCAAAGGUGUAGCGAAUUGGGUACCCAGCUUUCCUGAUCUGAAUGGUCUCCAUCAUCCCCGAAUAUCGCAGCUGUUUGAUACACAGCUCCCGGUCGAACAGCUGAAGGGGAAAGCACAAGAGGAGGAGACUUAGCACUGAAAGAAGUUGCAGGGCAAGGCUGCCCUCCAGUGAUCAAAGACUCAUGUUUUUGGAAAACAGCUCCUGGCAAUGUCUUGUCGCAGCUCUGAUGCAUCUUAGGGCUACAAAGCAUCUGAAGUAGGAUGUUUACCUGUCCAUGGCCAGGUGUUCUGGACAGCAGAAAACCACACUGGGACAAAGACAGAGGAAGAAAGAACAGGAUCAGAAAACAGUGCCAGGAGAAUAGGCAGAUAAGAGGAAAUCUGGACAACAAAGGGGAAUGAAGGAAAUCCCUAAUUUUAGCAGCCAGCGUUACUCCAAAGAAUCCAAAUGGCAUCAGUGCAUCAGGCCCUCUGUAUCACAAAAUGAGGAGCUCUUUUCUAAAAUGUGAGAGAUUCUGGCAUCCCGCUGGUGGGUGUCACACUGUGCCUGUCCAUACCAAAAGUGCACCUAUGCAGGUGCAGGAUGGCAGCUAGCAGCUUGCUGAUGUCCCAGUGCUCAGAAUCCGAGAACAUGAGGAUCUUCAUGGCCGAGCGGAUGUGGGCAUAAUCCUUCGCGUCGUUCCGGCUGUCGCAGGACAUGCAGUUGCCCUGCAAGGCACCACACCCACAGGUGAGGAAAAUCCUCCUGGUACCCAUACAAGGAAGAAGGGACC